rnacentral:tRNA from 1 species
UGGGAUAGCUCAGUUGGUAGAGCAGAGGACUGAAAAUCCUCGUGUCA